GAUGAACGCUGGCGGCGUGCCUAAUACAUGCAAGUCGAGCGAGCGGACGAGAAGCUUGCUUCUCUGAUGUUAGCGGCGGACGGGUGAGUAACACGUGGAUAACCUACCUAUAAGACUGGGAUAACUUCGGGAAACCGUAGCUAAUACCGGAUAAUAUUUUGAACCGCAUGGUUCAAAAGUGAAAGACGGUCUUGCUGUCACUUAUAGAUGGAUCCGCGCUGCAUUAGCUAGUUGGUAAGGUAACGGCUUACCAAGGCAACGAUGCAUAGCCGACCUGAGAGGGUGAUCGGCCACACGGGAACUGAGACACGGUCCAGACUCCUACGGGAGGCAGCAGUAGGGAAUCUUCCGCAAUGGGCGAAAGCCUGACGGAGCAACGCCGCGUGAGUGAUGAAGGUCUUCGGAUCGUAAAACUCUGUUAUUAGGGAAGAACAUAUGUGUAAGUAACUGUGCACAUCUUGACGGUACCUAAUCAGAAAGCCACGGCUAACUACGUG
rnacentral:rRNA from 1 species